rnacentral:rRNA from 1 species
UACAGAGGUCCCAAGCGUUGUUCGGAUUCACUGGGCGUAAAGGGUGCGUAGGCGGUCGGGUAAGUCUGACGUGAAAUCUUCAAGCUUAACUUGGAAACUGCGUCGGAUACUAUUCGGCUGGAGGAAUGGAGGGGAGACUGGAAUACUUGGUGUAGCAGUGAAAUGCGCAGAUAUCAGGAAGAACACCCGAGGCGAAGGCGGUUCUCUGGGACGGUACUGACGCUGAGACGCGAAAGCGUGGGGAGCGAACAGG